UGCGUAGGUGGUAUGGCAAGUCAGAAGUGAAAACCCAGGGCUUAACUCUGGGACUGCUUUUGAAACUGUCAGACUAGAGUGCAGGAGAGGUAAGCGGAAUUCCUAGUGUAGCGGUGAAAUGCGUAGAUAUUAGGAGGAACACCAGUGGCGAAGGCGGCUUUCUGGACUGUAACUGACGCUGAGGCUCGAAAGCCAGGGGAGCAACG
rnacentral:rRNA from 1 species